rnacentral:sRNA from 1 species
UCUACAAUACGACAGUGGGCUUCUCUAU